rnacentral:rRNA from 1 species
AGAGUUUGAUCCUGGCUCAGGAUGAACGCUAGCUACAGGCUUAACACAUGCAGGUCGAGGGGCAGCGGGAUUGAAGCUUGCUUCAAUUGCCGGCGACCGGCGCACGGGUGAGUAACGCGUAUCCAACCUUCCGUACACUCAGGGAUAGCCUUUCGAAAGAAAGAUUAAUACCUGAUGGUAUGAUGAAAUUGCAUGAUAGCAUCAUUAAAGAUUUAUCGGUGUACGAUGGGGAUGCGUUCCAUUAGGUAGUAGGCGGGGUAACGGCCACCUAGCCUACGAUGGAUAGGGGUUCUGAGAGGAAGGUCCCCCGANACUUGGAACUGAGACACGGUCCAAACUCCUACGGGAGGCA